rnacentral:rRNA from 1 species
GCUUGCUCCUCUGACGUUAGCGGCGGACGGGUGAGUAACACGUGGAUAACCUACCUAUAAGACUGGGAUAACUUCGGGAAACCGGAGCUAAUACCGGAUAAUAUAUUGAACCGCAUGGUUCAAUAGUGAAAGACGGUUUUGCUGUCACUUAUAGAUGGAUCCGCGCCGCAUUAGCUAGUUGGUAAGGUAACGGCUUACCAAGGCAACGAUGCGUAGCCGACCUGAGAGGGUGAUCGGCCACACUGGAACUGAGACACGGUCCAGACUCCUACGGGAGGCAGCAGUAGGGAAUCUUCCGCAAUGGGCGAAAGCCUGACGGAGCAACGCCGCGUGAGUGAUGAAGGUCUUCGGAUCGUAAAACUCUGUUAUUAGGGAAGAACAAAUGUGUAAGUAACUAUGCACGUCUUGACGGUACCUAAUCAGAAAGCCACGGCUAACUACGUGCCAGCAGCCGCGGUAAUACGUAGGUGGCAAGCGUUAUCCGGAAUUAUUGGGCGUAAAGCGCGCGUAGGCGGUUUUUUAAGUCUGAUGUGAAAGCCCACGGCUCAACCGUGGAGGGUCAUUGGAAACUGGAAAACUUGAGUGCAGAAGAGGAA